GUGAGUGUGCGGGUGUUGGGAAGAGACACGGAGCCCAGGGAGGGGGUCGGCCGAGCUCCCGAGGCCUCAGUGGGCAGCAGACUUUCCCUGUGUGGGGUCCCCGGAAUCGCUGCUCUUCCAGGCCCGGGACUGCGGAGAACUCGCCAGGCCACAUCUGGGGACGCAGCCACCCCAGGUGCGGGCCCCGACCCUACCGGCGUGGGCAGGUAGCUUCUGGUCUCUGGACGUGCCUCAGUUUCCCUUCCCAGAGGCGGGUGGCCACCCCGCUGCGAGGAGGUUCUUAGCGCUGUCUGCGCCUCCGCCGCGGUAGGGCAGCUUCGACAGGGUCUGGCCAUGUAGCCCAGGCUGCUUGAACUCCCAGCGAUCCUCCUGCCUCAGCCUCCCAAGUGCUGGAACGAGAGGCAUGGAUGGGCCAGCACGCCCUGUGGGUCCUACGGGUGCUCAGCGGCUGGCUCAGGGCUGGCUAAUCUGCCAAGGCCACUAAGACUGUGCCAAGGACAUCAGUUCUUUUGUCUCCACAGCUGAAGGGCAAAGCAGGGAUGAGGCCUCUGCCUCCUGAGGCACUGGGCUGAGGGCGACAAAAGUGCUGGAGCCACACAUGCCUGGGACAAGGGCCCAGCUCUGUCACCUGGGAGCAAUAGUGGGGGACAUGGGGCCAGAAAUUGAUUCUGCUGAGCAGUCGGCCCCUUGUGUGGAUCUAGCCACUCAUUGAUAUUCAGCUGCUCAUUAAUAUUUGACCACUAGUUAAUAUUCAAUGGAUAAUUAAUAUUCAAC
rnacentral:lncRNA from 1 species